GUUUUGCAAUGAUGAGAAAUAUUAUCAAUUUUUAAAACAGUUAUCCCUGUCUUAAUACAUAAUGUCGAGAUUUAAUUAGAAUCUGAAAUUUAC
rnacentral:snoRNA from 1 species